rnacentral:lncRNA from 1 species
UUUCUCCACAUUCUUCAAGGUCUACUUUGAUGGGAGUUUUUAUAUUUCAAAAGGUUUGAUCCAUCCUGCAAGUGAGUAUGUGCCUGCCUGUGACCGUAUGAGGCUUUCUGUGGUGGUGGUGAUGGGGUGGUUGAGGAUGCGGUGAUGAUGGUGUUGUUGGUGGUGAUAGACCUGAGGGGAUGGGUAGUGAUGGAGCUGGUGUUAAUGGUGUGGGUGGCAGUUGUGAUGACAUGGUGUUGCUCGUAGUGCUGGUGUGGUGCUGGUGCUGAUAGUGAGGGUGCUGAUGAUACUGGUGGUGGUAGUUGUGGAGAGGAAAGUACUGCUAGUGUGGCUGGGUUGGUGAUGGGGCUGUGCUGCUUCCAGAUCACUCCAGAUCAUAACAGGCUUCUGGAUCAUUUUCCCCACCUCCAUGAACUCCACACCCGGAAGGUCUGCCUGGAAAUGCUAGCCAUGUGCGAUGUGUGCGCAUGGACUCGGAGCCAAGUCGGUCUGAAGCAGGAAGCGCAGGACCUCAGAUGGUGGCAGAGAGGAGUGUGCACCUUACUGGGGCCACCAGCCAGGGCCCUGAGAGCCAGAUUAGACCCUGAUGCUGGGUUGGGGCCCAUCUCCAGCUGCCUGUGCAUCACCAUGCAGCCCCUCAGAGGACACUGCCUGAAAUGGGGUGUGUGGGGGGAGGUGCUCUCUGGGGUGUUGUCCCAGCUCCUAAUUGUAUUAAAGCAUUUGAGCUGCACACCAAAUGAGCAGCACCCAAUUAAUCACAUCUUCAGAGACACCAGGGCCAGUGCACCAAAGGGACAGCUGUAUGUUCUCAUUUCCUCUCCUUCACAUGACCCUUGUCA